UUAAAUAGUAAAUAUCACAUUUUGUUAUUAACACAGCUAUAACUUGCCGUGGUUCUCAGAUUUAUUUUGGACUAUUUUGAUGCCAAGUGAGUAUAAGAGCUUGUACUGAAACCAUUUAUUUCUUUCUAUUUUGCUAUUUGCAAAUGCUUGUUAUCUUCCCUACAUGAAGUGGCAGUAACCUUUUUCACAUUUAAGCUACCCUUCUACCUUUUGAAGUGAUUUGCAGUUACUCAUCUGAGACAGCAUCAGUAUUUGACUAAAUCAUUGUUUCACAACUGAAUAGUCUUGUUCUUUUAGUAGCAAUGAAAUCCUAAGCUCUUGAGGCCAUUCACCUGCCAACCUGACCAUACUGCUUUCAAAAGUCUUUUCUCAUCAGUAGAAUCUAUUUUGGUCACUUCUAGUCAAUGAAAAAUGUAAACUUUUAGGAGAGAAUGUUUCCUAGGACUCACCCACUCCAUUCAAUGUUACAUAUAAAAUAGUGUGAUCAAUCACAAUGUCCAUCUUUAGACAGUUGAUUAAAUAAAUUAUCUGGUCUUUGAAAAGACCGUGCUGGGCGCGGUGGCUCUUGCCUGUAAUCCCAGCACUUUGGGAGGCUGAGGUGGGCAGAUCACCUGAGAUCGGGAGUUUGAGACCAAGCCUGACCAAUAUGGAGAAACCCUGUCUCUACUAAGAAUACAAAAUUAGCUGGGCAUGGUGGUGCAUGCCUGUAAUCCCAGCUACUUGGGAGGCCGAGGCAGGAGAAUUGCUUGAACCCGGGAGGCAGAGAAUGGCGUGAACCCGGGAGGCG
rnacentral:lncRNA from 10 species